AGGAUCUUUCUUUGGUGGUGGAGCUGGUGAGAAAAACUGUUGUUCAACUUCUUGCGAUUUUUUCAGCUUACCUAUAGAAUAAUCAGCAAUAUAAACAAAUUUUCCAUUAUCCUCUCCCAGAGGACCAAUAUUUAGAUCACCAUUUAUCCACCGUUUGUAAAACUCAGACUUGUUGAUUUCUUGUUAGAUUUUUUCUUGUGGGGCUUGUAAGCUUCAUUAUCCAUGUUUGUAACCCAUUCCUCAAAGUUUAGCUCAUUGCGCAAUUCACAGAAACACAUAAGAUCCCACGAACAAUGUCCUGUAAUAGGAUCUUUAAGAUAAUAUAGAGGUUUUCCAUCUAUUUGAAAACUCUCUAUAAG
rnacentral:lncRNA from 1 species